rnacentral:tRNA from 1 species
GGCAAGAUGGCCGAGUGGUUAUGGCGCUAGCUUCAGGUGCUAGUAUCGAAAGAUGCGUGGGUUCAAGUCCCACUCUUGUCA